ACCCUUGGAUCAAGAGGUGAAUCCCUAUGAUCUCUAUUGCAGGCAUUAUGGUUUUGAGGGUGAUCUCCACCUUCUUUCUGCAACUGCUACAAUUCUCCGCCAUGGCCGAUUAGUUAUAGCAUCUGCUCACAGCGUCACCAACAGAAGCUUAUUUAAUCUCUGCUAUCAUCAAUUUGACAGAAAAUCGUUUGAAUUGGGAAUGUGAUCUAACUACAAUUGGGAUUUCCAAUUUCCUCCUCUGUGAUGGUCUUCUUUGCAUCUUCUCCCCAGAGGCCUGGCUUUGCCUUCAAAAGCGCAUAAUGAAGCAUCGCCAGUAGGCUUUGUGUCUCUGCUAUCGAAACCAUCGGCUUUUGUUCAUUGAACACAUUGGAGGAAUGCACAGUAGUCCAACUACUGCUCUAAGCCAAGAGAAACAACUUGGACAAACAAAGAAGCAUUUAGAAGGGAAACAAGUGGAGAGAACCCAACGAAGAUGAGUCCUGGAAGUCAAAGUUUGGAAGUACUUUUGGAAUUAUUGGAGCAGUGAUAGGUCUCUUCCUUCUUGGUUGCUUGCUCAUUCUUGUGUGGAAGAA